rnacentral:rRNA from 1 species
GCGUUAAGUUGCAGGGUAUAGACCCGAAACCCGGUGAUCUAGCCAUGGGCAGGUUGAAGGUUGGGUAACACUAACUGGAGGACCGAACCGACUAAUGUUGAAAAAUUAGCGGAUGACCUGUGGCUGGGGGUGAAAGGCCAAUCAAACCGGGAGAUAGCUGGUUCUCCCCGAAAGCUAUUUAGGUAGCGCCUCGUGAAUUCAUCUCCGGGGGUAGAGCACUGUUUCGGCUAGGGGGCCAUCCCGGCUUACCAACCCGAUGCAAACUGCGAAUACCGGAGAAUGUUAUCACGGGAGACACACGGCGGGUGCUAACGUCCGUCGUGAAGAGGGAAACAACCCAGACCGCCAGCUAAGGUCCCAAAGUCAUGGUUAAGUGGGAAACGAUGUGGGAAGGCCCAGACAGCCAGGAUGUUGGCUUAGAAGCAGCCAUCAUUUAAAGAAAGCGUAAUAGCUCACUGGUCGAGUCGGCCUGCGCGGAAGAUGUAACGGGGCUAAACCAUGCACCGAAGCUGCGGCAGCGACGCUUAUGCGUUGUUGGGUAGGGGAGCGUUCUGUAAGCCUGCGAAGGUGUGUCGUGAGGCAUGCUGGAGGUAUCAGAAGUGCGAAUGCUGACAUAAGUAACGAUAAAGCGGGUGAAAAGCCCGCUCGCCGGAAGACCAAGGGUUCCUGUCCAACGUUAAUCGGGGCAGGGUGAGUCGACCCCUAAGGCGAGGCCGAAAGGCGUAGUCGAUGGGAAACGGGUUAAUAUUCCCGUACUUGGUGUUACUGCGAAGGGGGGACGGAGAAGGCUAUGUUGGCCGGGCGACGGUUGUCCCGGUUUAAGCGUGUAGGUGUGUGUUCCAGGUAAAUCCGGUUCACUUUAACACUGAGGCGUGAUGACGAGGCACUACGGUGCUGAAGUAACAAAUGCCCUGCUUCCAGGAAAAGCCUCUAAGCAUCAGGUAACAUCAAAUCGUACCCCAAACCGACACAGGUGGUCAGGUAGAGAAUACCAAGGCGCUUGAGAGAACUCGGGUGAAGGAACUAGGCAAAAUGGUGCCGUAACUUCGGGAGAAGGCACGCUGACACGUAGGUGAAGUGAUUUACUCAUGGAGCUGAAGUCAGUCGAAGAUACCAGCUGGCUGCAACUGUUUAUUAAAAACACAGCACUGUGCAAACACGAAAGUGGACGUAUACGGUGUGACGCCUGCCCGGUGCCGGAAGGUUAAUUGAUGGGGUCAGCGCAAGCGAAGCUCCUGAUCGAAGCCCCGGUAAACGGCGGCCGUAACUAUAACGGUCCUAAGGUAGCGAAAUUCCUUGUCGGGUAAGUUCCGACCUGCACGAAUGGCGUAAUGAUGGCCAGGCUGUCUCCACCCGAGACUCAGUGAAAUUGAACUCGCUGUGAAGAUGCAGUGUACCCGCGGCAAGACGGAAAGACCCCGUGAACCUUUACUAUAGCUUGACACUGAACAUUGAGCCUUGAUGUGUAGGAUAGGUGGGAGGCUUUGAAGUGUGGACGCCAGUCUGCAUGGAGCCGACCUUGAAAUACCACCCUUUAAUGUUUGAUGUUCUAACGUGGACCCGUUACCCGGGUUGCGGACAGUGUCUGGUGGGUAGUUUGACUGGGGCGGUCUCCUCCUAAAGAGUAACGGAGGAGCACGAAGGUUGGCUAAUCCUGGUCGGACAUCAGGAGGUUAGUGCAAUGGCAUAAGCCAGCUUGACUGCGAGCGUGACGGCGCGAGCAGGUGCGAAAGCAGGUCAUAGUGAUCCGGUGGUUCUGAAUGGAAGGGCCAUCGCUCAACGGAUAAAAGGUACUCCGGGGAUAACAGGCUGAUACCGCCCAAGAGUUCAUAUCGACGGCGGUGUUUGGCACCUCGAUGUCGGCUCAUCACAUCCUGGGGCUGAAGUAGGUCCCAAGGGUAUGGCUGUUCGCCAUUUAAAGUGGUACGCGAGCUGGGUUUAGAACGUCGUGAGACAGUUCGGUCCCUAUCUGCCGUGGGCGCUGGAGAACUGAGGGGGGCUGCUCCUAGUACGAGAGGACCGGAGUGGACGCAUCACUGGUGUUCGGGUUGUCAUGCCAAUGGCACUGCCCGGUAGCUAAAUGCGGAAGAGAUAAGUGCUGAAAGCAUCUAAGCACGAAACUUGCCCCGAGAUGAGUUCU